UACGUAGGGUGCAAGCGUUGUCCGGAAUUAUUGGGCGUAAAGAGCUCGUAGGCGGUUUGUCGCGUCUGCUGUGAAAACUCGGGGCUUAACCCCGGGCCUGCAGUGGGUACGGGCAGACUAGAGUGCGGUAGGGGAGACUGGAAUUCCUGGUGUAGUCGGUGAAAUGCGCAGAUAUCAGGAGGAACACCGGUGGCGAAGGCGGGUCUCUGGGCCGUAACUGACGCUGAGGAGCGAAAGCGUGGGGAGCGAACAGG
rnacentral:rRNA from 1 species